GAUGAACGCUGGCGGCGUGCCUAAUACAUGCAAGUCGAGCGAACGGACGAGAAGCUUGCUUCUCUGAUGUUAGCGGCGGACGGGUGAGUAACACGUGGAUAACCUACCUAUAAGACUGGGAUAACUUCGGGAAACCGGAGCUAAUACCGGAUAAUAUUUUGAACCGCAUGGUUCAAAAGUGAAAGACGGUCUUGCUGUCACUUAUAGAUGGAUCCGCGCUGCAUUAGCUAGUUGGUAAGGUAACGGCUUACCAAGGCAACGAUGCAUAGCCGACCUGAGAGGGUGAUCGGCCACACUGGAACGUAGACACGGUCCAGACUCCUACGGGAGGCAGCAGUAGGGAAUGUUCCGCAAUGGGCGAAAGCCUGACGGAGCAACGCCGCGUGAGUGAUGAAGGUCUUCGGAUCGUAAAACUCUGUUAUUAGGGAAGAACAUAUGUGUAAGUAACUGUGCACAUCUUGACGGUACCUAAUCAGAAAGCCACGGCUAACUACGUG
rnacentral:rRNA from 1 species